AUUGAACGCUGGCGGCAGGCCUAACACAUGCCAGUCGAGCGGAUGAAGAGAGCUUGCUCCUGGAUUCAGCGGCGGACGGGUGAGUAAUGCCUAGGAAUCUGCCUGGUAGUGGGGGAUAACGUCCGGAAACGGGCGCUAAUACCGCAUACGUCCUGAGGGAGAAAGUGGGGGAUCUUCGGACCUCACGCUAUCAGAUGAGCCUAGGUCGGAUUAGCUAGUUGGUGGGGUAAAGGCCUACCAAGGCGACGAUCCGUAACUGGUCUGAGAGGAUGAUCAGUCACACUGGAACUGAGACACGGUCCAGACUCCUACGGGAGGCAGCAGUGGGGAAUAUUGGACAAUGGGCGAAAGCCUGAUCCAGCCAUGCCGCGUGUGUGAAGAAGGUCUUCGGAUUGUAAAGCACUUUAAGUUGGGAGGAAGGGCAGUAAGUUAAUACCUUGCUGUUUUGACGUUACCAACAGAAUAAGCACCGGCUAACUUCGUG
rnacentral:rRNA from 1 species